rnacentral:rRNA from 1 species
GACGAACGCUGGCGGCGUGCUUAACACAUGCAAGUCGAACGGUGAAGCGCCUUCCUUUUUGGUGGGUGUGGAUGAGUGGCGAACGGGUGAGUAACACGUGAGUAACCUGCCCCCUUCUUCUGGAUAACCGCAUGAAAGUGUGGCUAAUACGGGAUAUUCUGGGUCUGUCGCAUGAUGGGUCUGGGAAAGAUAUUGUUUCGGUGGGGGAUGGGCUCGCGGCCUAUCAGCUUGUUGGUGGGGUGAUGGCCUACCAAGGCGGUGACGGGUAGCCGGCCUGAGAGGGUGGACGGUCACACUGGGACUGAGACACGGCGCAGACUCCGACGGGAGGCAGCAGUGGGGAAUAGUGCACAAUGGGCGCAAGCCUGAUGCAGCGACGCCGCGGGGGGGAUGGAGGCCUUCGGGUUGUGAACCUCUUUCGCCAGUGAAGCAGGCCUGCCUCGUUUGUGGGUGGGUUGACGGUAGCUGGAUAAGAAGCGCCGGCUAACUACGUG